rnacentral:rRNA from 1 species
AUUGAACGCUGGCGGCAGGCCUAACACAUGCAAGUCGAGCGGAGCGGCGGACGGGUGAGAAAUGCCUAGGAAUCUGCCUGGUAGUGGGGGAUAACGUCCGGAAACGGGCGCUAAUACCGCAUACUAUCAGAUGAGCCUAGGUCGGAUUAGCUAGUUGGUGGGGUAAAGGCCUACCAGGGCGCCGAUCCGUAACUGGUCUGAGAGGAUGAUCAGUCACACUGGAACUGAGACACGGUCCAGACUCCUACGCGAGGCAGCAGUGGGGAAGAUUGCACUAUGGGCGAAAGGCGUAUUCAGCCAUGCCGCGUGGUUGAAGAAGGUGUUCGGAUUGUAAAGCUCUGGAAGUUGGUCGGCGUUGCCAGCAGUAGUAGCACCGGCUAACUUCCUGCCAGCAGCCGCGGUAAUAC